ACAUGCCUACAUCAUAGUGUUAAUGCAUCGGAUCCCAUUAUAACUCUGUAGUUAAGCACACUCAGGCUAGAGUAGUACUGGGAGGGGUGAUCGCUCGGGAAGUCCUAGUAUUUUACAUGCC
rnacentral:rRNA from 1 species